UGAGAGGAAGCUUUAACGGAAGUCUGAUUGAUGCAUGAGUGAAUGACAGAUUGUUCUUUCUUCUCCUGCCUCUCACUCAAGAUUUUCCCAUCACCCAGCCCAGAGUUUCUCACUAGGAAUUCUUGCUUUCUUUCUCUUUCAUCUUCUCCAUUGCAACUGUCAGUCCCCCCCGCCCCCCAGGUUUCAGUGACCUGAGAUGGAAGGGGUGGGGGAGACGAGAGAAAGAGGAGAGGGAGGCCUGGCUGGGGGCCCUCGGAGAGCACGGGAGACCAUGGCCCUGGGUCCCGGGGCUUCCAGGGGGCUGCUCCCCCGUCUCCCACUUGCCCUUGAAUGCUGGCCUCCUGGGGCAGGAAACAGGGAGAUGAGGAAACUGAGGCCAGGGGAAGUGAAGGUCAGACAGCUAGUAAGUUGGCAGAGCCAGACUUCAAACCCAGAGCCUACGACUGAUCCAACAUGAUUCCUGCUGCGUUUCACUUGGAUGGUGUGACUUCAAGGGACCGUGAUGUUUAUCCUCCCACCUGUCAGGGUUUGUGAAAUUUUGCUAUUACAGGCCCGUAUAUUCCCCUCCACUAGCUUUUAAAACGUUCGUCGUCCUGGGAGGAGUGAAAACCUUAAAACUUUAGGGUGAAGGACCUUAAUGUUUCAAUUGGGGUUGGAGAAGGGGCACAGAAGGGGGGGGGUCUGACAGUAUUUUGCCACUUCUAUGGUUUUGUGGCGAGGCCCCGCCUCAUGAUGGGGACCUGUCUUCUGAUGGAGCAGGGAACUUCUGAGUUUGGCACUAAAAAUGGGUCCAGCUUCACUUUUGGGGUCAUUCCAGACCUAGGAAUCCCCUGAGACCUACUGAGUUAAAAAGAUCAUGGGAGCUUUCCCGGUGAGCCAGGAAGUGAGGGACCCAGCAGGGGCCUGGUCCAAAGGCUCUGGGCUGACAGGCCCCUUGUUUUGGGGACAGCUUGCUGCUCCAGGGCUGAAGGGACGGAAGGCCCUCACCGUGCCCCGUGUGAAGGCCCUGCUCAGUAGGGAAUGUCUGGCCAAUGAAGCUACUGUAGCAGAGUCAGAGGGACCCAGGCAGCCCCUUGGAGCGUGAGGCCCAACCUUAGGGAUCCCAGCAUAGCUGAUGUCCUGCUGCAGGGCCCUGCAGCUUCCAGCUGAAAGUGAGCGUCUGCAGCCCCUGCGUGUCAGAUAGGACGCGGGGCCUGAACCAGUGUGGAUGGCUUGGCCACCCCCGACCUGCUGACUUGGCG
ensembl:lncRNA